GAUCCUGGCUCAGAUUGAACGCUGGCGGCAGGCCUAACACAUGCAAGUCGAGCGGCAACAUUUCUAGCUUGCUAGAAGAUGACGAGCGGCGGACGGGUGAGUAAUACUUGGGGAUCUGCCUGAUGGCGGGGGACAACCACUGGAAACGGUGGCUAAUACCGCAUAAUGCCUACGGGCCAAAGUGUGGGACCUUCGGGCCACAUGCCAUCAGAUGAACCCAAGCGAGAUUAGCUAGUUGGUGAGGUAACGGCUCACCAAGGCGACGAUCCCUAGCUGUUCUGAGAGGAUGAUCAGCCACACUGGGACUGAGACACGGCCCAGACUCCUACGGGAGGCAGCGGUGGGGAAUAUUGGACAAUGGGCGCAAGCCUGAUCCAGCCAUGCCGCGUGUGUGAAGAAGGCCUUCGGGUUGUAAAGCACUUUCAGUGGUGAGGAAGGCGUUGUAGUAAUAGCUGCAACGAUUGACGUUAGCCACAGAAGAAGCACCGGCUAACUCCGUGCCAGCAGCCGCGGUAAUACAGAGGGUGCGAGCGUUAAUCGGAAUUACUGGGCGUAAAGCGCACGUAGGCGGCUUGUUAAGCAAGAUGUGAAAGCCCAGGGCUCAACCUUGGAAUUGCAUUUUGAACUGGCAAGCUAGAGUUUUGAAGAGGGUGGUAGAAUUUCCAGUGUAGCGGUGAAAUGCGUAGAUAUUGGAAGGAAU
rnacentral:rRNA from 1 species